AAGGAUUUAAGUUAAACAAACUAGUAGACUUCAAACCUACCAAUAAAAAUUAUUUUAAGCCUUA
rnacentral:tRNA from 1 species